UUAAACAUCCAUACCACGUUGAAUACACCGGUUCUCGUCCGAUCAUCGAAGUUAAGCAACGUCGGGUGAGGUCAGUACUUGGAUGGGUGACCGCCUGGAAACACUGGCUGACGUUAGCU
rnacentral:rRNA from 1 species